rnacentral:rRNA from 1 species
UCGAACGAGAAAGCCCUUCGGGGUGAGUACAGUGGCGAACGGGUGAGUAACACGUGGGCAAUCUGCCCCUCGCAGGGGGACAACCGGGGGAAACCCCGGCUAAUACCCCGUACGCUUGUUGAGUCGCAUGGCUCUACAAGGAAAGGUAGCUUCGGCCAUCCGGCGAGGGAUGAGCCCGCGGUGCAUUAGCUAGUUGGUGAGGUAACGGCUCACCAAGGCGACGAUGCAUAGCUGGUCUGAGAGGAUGAUCAGCCACACUGGGACUGAGACACGGCCCAGACUCCUACGGGAGGCAGCAGUCGGGAAUCUUGCGCAAUGGGCGAAAGCCUGACGCAGCAACACCGUGUGAGCGACGAAGGCCUUCGGGUCGUAAAGCUCUGUUGUUGGGGACGAAGGGUUAGGGGUUAAUAGCCCCGAGCCUGACGGUACCCUUCGAGGAAGCCCCGGCUAACUACGUGCCAGCAGCCGCGGUAAUACGUAGGGGGCGAGCGUUG